AAAAAAAUUUAGUGUUAUUUUAAAAGUCUAUUUUAAUCUGUUAAUUUAUAAUAAAAGCCCAAAAAUUAAGUAAAUCUAAUUAAGUAACCUAAUUUAUAAAACAACAAAAAGUCUGUACUCUCACCUUUACAAUUUUUCCGUUGAUAAAAGAAAAAAAAACUCUAGAACCGAAGCGGUGACCAUUAGGCGUUAACAACACAAAUCAAAAACCAAAAAUCAUAUUCUAUUCAUCGAUCUGUUAGUGGAAUCCCUUUCCAUAGAGUUCUAAAAUUUUCUUUGGUGGGUCUCGUUAAGUGUUUUGGCAGAUCAAAUCCAGGUGACUUUGUUCUUUUAUUUUAAAAAGAGAUGGUGUGUGGAAAUGAUCAAA